rnacentral:rRNA from 1 species
AUACGUAGGGGGCUAGCGUUAUCCGGAAUUACUGGGCGUAAAGGGUGCGUAGGUGGUUUCUUAAGUCAGAAGUGAAAGGCUACGGCUCAACCGUAGUAAGCUUUUGAAACUAAGAGACUUGAGUGCAGGAGAGGAGAGUAGAAUUCCUAGUGUAGCGGUGAAAUGCGUAGAUAUUAGGAGGAAUACCAGUUGCGAAGGCGGCUCGCUGGACUGUAACGGACACUGAGGCACGAAAGCGUGGGGAGCAAACAGGAUUAGAUACCCUGGUAGUCCACGCCGUAAACGAUGAGUACUAGCUGUCGGGGGUUACCCCCCUCGGUGGCGCAGCUAACGCAUUAAGUACUCCGCCUGGGAAGUACGCUCGCAAGAGUGAAACUCAAAUGAAUUGACGGGG